CUCAUUCCUUAGCUUUAUGAAAUCUGACCUUUGGUUUUAGAGCUCAAAAAAAGUCUAAUUCUACAUGUGUGCAUCUCUCAGCAUAGUGGAAUCUCAUCUCGGUUAGCGUCAAAGAAACACAAGGCACGAGUUAAAUGACUUUUCAGUGGACAAAUACAUCUCUGCUCUUUUGCUGCAACAGGUAAAAAACACAGAAAGGGAGAACAGGAACAACCCAUGUGGGCUGGGAGACUUGAAGAACAAUAUUAAGAGAAAGACAAGACGAUGCCCAGGAAAUAAAGCCAAAUAAAUGAUACUGAGCCCAAGAUAUGAAGUAACACCAGGACUCUGAACUCACUUAUUUACAGGAGAUUAACAUCAAAUGUUGCAUUACAUGUUUUUGUUCGCUCUGGGACUCUGAAGUCAGGACUGUAGCAGAAGCUUGAGCAAAAAGAAUGAGAAAACUGGAAAAUAUGGAGAACAGAUGAAAUGGCUCCCUCGGCAGAAACAGAUCACCUCCAUGAGACAGCAUUCAGACAGAAUCAUUUUGUAGAUGAACGUAGGUGAGAGCAAGUAUGAGAAAAUGCUGAAAGCUCCAACAGAAAAAUGGGAAAGAAAACAAAGCAACUUCAAUUGUUUCAUCAAAAAGGUAGGAAAUGAAAGCAAAGUAGGAAAAAAAUUAAAAAAGGAGAAAUAGUUAAAGUGUGUCACUGAAUGAAAAUAAACAGAAUAACUUUUUCAACCUGGCUCUGUCCAGGUCAGGCCACAAAGGGCAACCUCUGAUAACAGUUUCGUCAGCAUUAUAUCAGAUGAGGGAAAAACUCUUCUAGUAUGGAUCAUAUUAAAGAAAAAACAGAGAGAGUAUAAAGGUAUAUUUAGCAUCUCUUUUGUAUAUACUGCAUAGUUUAGCUGCCAGAAAGAAUAUGAGAAUGAAUCCAGCACAACUGGUUACUUAGCAGUCACAGUCUCAGCCCUGAUUUUUAGGGAAGCUUGGGCAGUUACAUGGCUAUAACUCUCUUGCAUGAUACUGGAGCAUAACCUGUCCACCAGCAAAAUGAGAAAGAUCCUCAAUGCCUUCUGUAAAUCUGCCUUUCUAAGGUCAGACAUACAAAGAGGGUAUUUUCUACACUCCUGGCAUCUGAUUUAUCCUACCUCAAAUCAGACUGUUGACCAAGGGUCAGACAGUUUCCCUGGGGACAGAGCACAUGCUAUAUACCAAACACUGGAGAAGCACUCAAAAUCUUUGAAAGCUCUGCAUAGUUCAUAUUCAGCAUUUCAUUGUCCUACUUUCUUUGGGAAAGAAAGCUCAUCAGUGUUUUAAAGAACACUGACACUAUGUAGCCUUGGGUUAUGUCUUGCACACCAUAAGUCACUUCAAUAGAUUUAGAACACAGUAAUACAGAGGAGACUGACCAGUGUCUAAAAUCAAGCUGUCAUAUCUCCAUGAACGUUGGCCUGUUUACCCAAAAAUGAUGAAACAUUCUACAUUAACAGGUUAGACACUGGGAGGCUCACUGCAAGGCUAAACAGAACAUAUCUCAGGACUGAAUCUGGUCCUGCACAUAUUUUUACUUUAAAAUGGGAAGCAUCCUUUCUGAG